AUGAUAAAAUUUUGACAUGUGACGUUUGCAUAAAAGUUAAACAUAUUUUUUUAAGUAUAAAAAUGAAUACGGAUAAUUAUGAAAUUGAAACUAUUCGACAGGAAAUUGUCAAAAAUCAUUUAGAAGUGACAGCUUUAAUUCAGGAUAUACAGCAAUGUACAGGACCUCUAGAAUUUCUAAACGAAUUGAACGCUGAGGGAAGAGGGAAAAUUGCCUCUUUGAGAUCUAGUAUUGAUAGGCUUGUCAAUGCCACAGAAUUAGAAAUCAAUGAGAAGAAAAAAUCGGAAUUACUCGUGGAAAUAGAAAAUCAUCGAGCACAAAUGUCAACGACAAUGAAAGCUUUUAGAAAAGCGAAUGUCAUUAGUUCAUGUGUAAUCGAUAAAAUGUCAAGGGACGAUUUAUUAGCAUCGUCAGAGGAACAACAGGAUUUUUUACGAAAAAGAAGAGAUAAAAAAUCUCUCGUCGACACCUCUUCUCAAGUGACUGAUAAACUUUCAAGUAUUUCGAGACAACUGGCUGAAACGACUCAGAGAAGCGCCGAUACUCUGGAAUCCCUGAUUACUUCUUCGGAAAAAGUCACUGGCACCGAAAGAGAAUUAGUCGAUCAGAGACAAGUAAUUGUUCAGUCUGGAAAACUUUUAGGAAAAUAUGGUCGACGAGAAAUUACAGAUAAAAUUUUAUUGGCCCUUGCUUUUGCAUUUUUUCUCGCCUGUGUUGGAUACAUUUUACAAAAAAGACUUAGCUGGUUAUGAAUUCUUCUCUGGAUAUGACUCCAUCUUUGUCAAGAUCCAUUUUUUCGAAAAUGCGAUUUACAUGCCUGUCAACAGCGCGCUCAAUCGAUCGGGUGUUUUCCACAACUUCAUAAAUGGCACUUACAAUAGACAUCAUCUCGUUACGUGUUAUGUGUCCAUCACCAUUUAAAUCGUACAAUCUAAUUAACAAUCUAAUUAUCAACGAAGCGAGCCGUGAAUUUAAUCAUUGGACCGUGAAGAAAGUAAUAAAUUUUGCAAAUACUGCGGGUUUGGUGUUCAGAAAGUGUGAAGUUGGAAAGGACAAAAACAAUUCAAAAUAUGAAAUAGUAUAAUGACGUAGUAAAUGCUCAAUGAUGUAACGUCCUUUAUUUAACAAGACAAGAGUAAACUUGCACGCAAACUUUAAUGAUUUCUUGUCCGUGAUAUUAUACUCUCAUCUUACGAGUUCUACUUUUAGUUCCACGUGCGAGGCGAUUCAUUGAUACAUAUUUGAUUCAGUAAAGUGAGCAUUUCCACAAUGGAUGUUGAGAAAAAAUUAACGAGUUUCAAUAAAAGUCUUCAUUAAACUUUUCGAAGACUAAUAAAAGAUUGCUGGUAGUUGAAAACGUCCCUUUGUGAUUACUGUGACGUAAAAUGAAGACAAUUUUUGUCUUUUUACUCUUGAUUGUUGGCGGUUUGAGUGCACCUUGGCUUGAUUUAUUGUUUGGAGAACCAUAUUACAGAAGUGAAGGAAGACAUCGACAGGGUAAAAGUGGCGGUGAACGUUGGAAAGAAAUUUGUCGAACAAUUAAUCCCGAUGGUUUUGCAUAUCCAGGUCGAGUUCCAUAUCCUGCAGCACCAGUUUGUCCCUGGUAGGGAAAAUAAUUUUUAAGUAUCGAAUAUUUUAUAAAAUUAAAAAUUUCGAGCUUUUGUAAUAUUAAUUUUUUUUUAUUAAAUUCUAUUUCUUGUUA